CAUUCUUUUUUAGUUGAGGCAAAACAGGCACAGAAAGAGAGAGAGAGAGAGGGAAAGACUAGGGCACCGCGUUUCAACUGCGACAAGAAGAUAAAAAGGAAAUAAGUAGGGAAUAAAAAAAGAAGGAAAAGAGGGAAAAGGAGGGAAAAGCGAGGAAUUUUUAAGGUCUACCUGAGGUUUCUGAAUUCAUCUUAACCAUUUUACUUUUCAUCAACUAUUACCCUGGGGAGCGAAUUCGGGAACCUGAUUGGUGUUGGUACACUCUUCUUGUCAGAUGGACGUAAAUUUCACUACUCUUAGUUUCAUACGGAAUUCUUCCUAAAUGGUUCUCAAGUUUUGUGACUGGAAUAUAUAUACAUUUAUUUAUAAUGAUAGUUUCUUAUCGUUAUAUUUUGUAACUUAUCAUCAUAAGUCUAGUUUGCUGGGGAAAGGCUUAUUAUAAAUUAUUAUUAUCAACAUGUAUACAUUUUAUAACUAGUAAGUAGUAUGCAAGUUUUAAAAAAAUGGGUCACCUAGUAUAGAUUUCAAACUAUACUUAACAAUUUCGAUAUAAUUGAGGCGAUUGUACAGAUAUAAAUACUUAAGUAUAAAUGUCGUUAUGUGCAACCUCCAUUUGGACUAAAAUAUUGUAUGACUUUAAUUAUAAAGACUAUAUAGCCCUUUUCUGCUGAAGCACGCUGACUUAUUUAUCAAGCAUAAUAUUUAAAUAAGAAAGGAGAGUACAGAUAUCAAAAACGCAAAUUAUAUCAUAUUUGAGGAAGCUCUUUUCCCUAUUAAGUACACCAUACGAAAGGUCCAAAUUUCAAUUCAAGUCGAAUGAAAAAAAUGUAUAAUCAUGUUUCAGCAAAGAUUAAGUAUAUACAAAAAUCGAAGGAAUCGGCUCAGUUAUUUUACAAUAUCAUUAUAAACAGAUAAUAUAGUAAAAUCAUACAGUUCAUUAGAUAAUAAUUAUUUUAUUAUAACCAAUCAAAAAAAUAUGACUAUAAAUAAAGUUCACUUCAAAAAUGCA
rnacentral:lncRNA from 1 species